UUUCCGUAGGUGAACCUGCGGAAGGAUCAUUAUUGAGAUUACCGGGGCGGCGCGAGCCGUCCCAACCAAACCCCCUGUGAACAUAACCCCGUCCUCGGCCGUCGACUUGCGCAAAUUUACAACUGUCGUCCUAUGUCCAGAAAGUGAAACAAAAGAGUACAACUCUCAACGAUGGAUCUCUUGGCUCUGGCAUCGAUGAAGAACGCAGC
rnacentral:misc_RNA from 1 species